UCACAAAUGGAACUCUCAACUCUUGACUUUGAAUCAGUUGCCUCAAUUAUGUCCUGCAGAUGUGAUCUCCCAGCUGUUUUCCAAAAUGAAUUGCACCAUGAAAAGGCAGAGGUUUUCACACAGUGGCAUACCUGAGAGUGCAGGUCCAUGCAUAAAGAGAUAUCAGGAUGCCUCAUCUUACUUGAUUCCGUGGGUUAUCAUGCAUUCAGUUCUGAAUUUCCUUUUGAAAACAAACCUUUGCCUGCCUCUCUCAAUAUAACAUUUUC